rnacentral:rRNA from 1 species
GAUGAACGCUGGCGGCGUGCCUAAUACAUGCAAGUCGAGCGAACGGACGAGAAGCUUGCUUCUCUUAUGUUAGCGGCGGACGGGUGAGUAACACGUGGAUAACCUACCUAUAAGACUGGGAUAACUUCGGGAAACCGUAGCUAAUACCGGAUAAUAUUUUGAACCGCAUGGUUCAAAAGUGAAAGACGGUCUUUCUGUCACUUAUAGAUUGAUCCGCGCUGCAUUAGCUAGUUGGUAAGGUAACGGCUUACCAAGGCAACGAUGCAUAGCCGACCUGAGAGGGUGAUCGGCCACACUGGAACUGAGACACGGUCCAGACUCCUACGGGAGGCAGCAGUAGGGAAUCUUCCGCAAUGGGCGAAAGCCUGACGGAGCAACGCCGCGUGAGUGAUGAAGGUCUUCGGAUCGUAAAACUCUGUUAUUAGGGAAGAACAUAUGUGUAAGUAACUGUGCACAUCUUGACGGUACCUAAUCAGAAAGCCACGGCUAACUACGUG